UAGCUGCAUUAUUUGACGUUAGCGACAGAAGAAGCACCGGCUAACUCCGUGCCAGCAGCCGCGGUAAUACGGAGGGUGCGAGCGUUAAUCGGAAUUACUGGGCGUAAAGCGCAUGCAGGUGGUUUGUUAAGUCAGAUGUGAAAGCCCGGGGCGUCAACCUCGGAAUAGCAUUUGAAACUGGCAGACUAGAGUACUGUAGAGGGGGGUAGGAAUUUCAGGUGUAGCGGUGAAAUAGCGUAGAGAUCUGAAGGAAUACCGGUGGCGAAGGCGGCCCCCUCGGACAGAUACUGACACUCAGAUGCGAAAGCGUGGGGAGCAAACAGGAUUAGAUACCCUGGUAG
rnacentral:rRNA from 1 species